rnacentral:rRNA from 1 species
CCCUUAGAUGUCCUGGGCCGCACGCGUGCUACACUGAACGGAUCAGCGCGUUUUCCCUUCCCGAGAGGGACGGGUAACCUGCUGAACCCCGUUCGUGGUAGGGAUCGGGGCUUGCAAUUAUUCCCCGUGAACCAGGAAUGCCCAGUAAGUGCAAGUCAUAAGCUUGCGUUGAUUACGUCCCUGCCCUUUGUACACACCGCCCGUCGCUACUACCGAUUGAACGUUUUAGUGAGGUACUCGGACUGAGCCUCAGAAGAUUCACGUCUUUUGUGCUGCUCGGGAAGAUUCCCAAACUUGAGCGUUUAGAGGAAGUAAAANUCGUAACA